CGCGGUAAUUCCAGCUCCAAUAGCGUAUAUUAACGUUGUUGCAGUUAAAAAGCUCGUAGUUGAAAUGAAGGGUAGUUGUGUAAUGAAUACAUUCGUGUAUUUUGUUAUUCUACUACCCUCCUUCUAAAUUCGAUAUAUGAGUAUUAAUUUACUUGUAUAUGGUUUUAGACGUUUACUGUGAGAAAAUUAGAGUGUUCAAAGCAGGCAUUUGCUUGAAUAUAUUAGCAUGGAAUAAUCAUGUAUGAUUUUCAUGAUGUAUUUGAUUGGUUUGGUUCAUGAGAAUAAGAUUAA
rnacentral:rRNA from 1 species